UACGAAGGGGGCUAGCGUUGCUCGGAAUUACUGGGCGUAAAGCGCACGUAGGCGGUCUUUUAAGUCGGGGGUGAAAUCCUGGAGCUCAACUCCAGAACUGCCUUCGAUACUGGAAGACUCGAGUCCGGGAGAGGUGAGUGGAACUGCGAGUGUAGAGGUGAAAUUCGUAGAUAUUCGCAAGAACACCAGUGGCGAAGGCGGCUCACUGGCCCGGUACUGACGCUGAGGUGCGAAAGCGUGGGGAGCAAACAAGG
rnacentral:rRNA from 1 species